rnacentral:lncRNA from 1 species
CUCCCUUCCAGUGAUGUCCCCUUUUGGUGCAUAACAAAUUAUGUAUACACAGUUUUUAAACUGUGAACACAUAAAGUGAAAAUGUUUUAAUGAAACUUGAAAGUUAGAACCGAAAACCUUUAUGGGUAUAAGAGGUCAAGUCAAAAACGACAAAAUGCUGACUGCAUAGUGCUGCACAUGAAAUGACCGUUUCGUUAUUCAUUAGUCACGGUGUGAGUAACAAUGCAGAUCAGGCGGGCUGUCUGUGGGCCAGGUGUUGUAAUAAUCCUUGUGCCAAAGAGGGUACAUGGACCUCGGCACUGUUUUCAGCACUUUUCCCAAGAGCAAGGGAAGUCUGGGCUGUGUCCAGUAAUUUUAGUCAAUGAACAAAUGAAUGUAUCAGUCAAAUAUUUUUACUCGGAUCUUUGCAGUUUAUCUAUAAGAGCAAAUUAAUCAGUAAAGAAUGCCAAUGACUACAGAUCGAUGGUCUGAAAUAGCACAACAGUGCUGCUUCUUUAUGCAGAGGCGCAGAAAGGGUGAACCACAUCGUCAUUCUGCUGCAUACUGAGGUCCAGUUUAUGAGUCUAGAGUGUGGGGUGAAGUCCGGAAACAAGACCAUCUGCUCAUGAGCAGGUGAGACAACCAGUCCCACGCUGCCCAGCAGUUUUGCCGAUUCUCUUUUGCCACAGUGCCUAGGAGGGCAGUUAAGUGCGUCGCGUGGCUGAAGAGUCGGCGUGUCGUGGAGCCACAUGCAGUCGAACCCGGAUCUCAUUGAUCACCUCACGGCACCUCACCAAGAGCCAGAUAAUGAAGCUUCUGCGCCCAGCACAGUUCAGUUCAGGGGUUUGAGAGACUGUCUUCCCGGGGGCUGGGGUUUCAGGCUCAUCUGCAGCUCAACGACAGACAUGGAUACAGACACUCCUGGAUUACAGAGCUUGUCUGAGCCUCUAAAACCGAAGAGAAGCAUCGUGACAUCGGAGAUGCGAAAGGUCACAUGAAGAAGGAGACCUGAAAGGUGCUAUUGUGUAAGAGAAACUGGCAGGCUUGGAGCGUUUCAAAGGGAUGUUUUACUACUGAUUUCUGUUACUCUCCCAUUGAAAGGCUGGCCUAGUGAGAUUUUUAGUUUUUGUUUAUAUUCACAACAUUUUCAAUUGCAGUUAAUGCUUAUUCUGAAUUGUUUACUUUACACGGAGCAAGUUAUUCAAAUUAUGAAUAGGUUUUGGUUACCAACAAUAACAAAAAUAAGAAUGGUUACAAACAAGAAGAGGCUUGUUUGGUGGUUAGUUUAGUAUUUGAACUUUGUUUUACUAUCUGUCAGAAACUCUUGUCCUGCUAAAUCGGACAGACAUCUUGCAGUGUGAUGUCUGAUGCUUAAUGUUCAGUAUAUAUCUGUAUGCUGUAAGAUAGAUGGUAAC